AACGAACGCUGGCGGCAUGCCUAACACAUGCAAGUCGAACGAGACCUUCGGGUCUAGUGGCGCACGGGUGCGUAACGCGUGGGAACCUGCCCUUAGGUUCGGAAUAACUCCCCGAAAGGGGUGCUAAUACCGGAUAAUGUCUUCGGACCAAAGAUUUAUCGCCUUUGGAUGGGCCCGCGUUGGAUUAGCUAGUUGGUAGGGUAAAAGCCUACCAAGGCGACGAUCCAUAGCUGGUCUGAGAGGAUGAUCAGCCACACUGGGACUGAGACACGGCCCAGACUCCUACGGAGGGCAGCAGUGGAGAAUAUUAGACGAUGGGCGAAAGCCUGAUCCAGCAAUGCCGCGUGAGUGAUGAAGGCCUUAGGGUUGUAAAGCUCUUUUACCCGGGAUGAUAAUGACAGUACCGGGAGAAUAAGCUCCGGCUAACUCCGUG
rnacentral:rRNA from 1 species